AUUGAACGCUGGCGGCAUGCCUUACACAUGCAAGUCGAACGGCAGCACGGGAGCAAUCCUGGUGGCGAGUGGCGAACGGGUGAGUAAUAUAUCGGAACGUGCCCGGUCGUGGGGAUAACGUAGCGAAAGCUACGCUAAUACCGCAUACGAUCUACGGAUGAAAGCGGGGAUCGCAAGACCUCGCGCGAUUGGAGCGGCCGAUAUCAGAUUAGGUAGUUGGUGAGGUAAAGGCUCACCAAGCCGACGAUCUGUAGCUGGUCUGAGAGGACGACCAGCCACACUGGGACUGAGACACGGCCCAGACUCCUAC
rnacentral:rRNA from 1 species